CCGACCACCGGCGCCGUGUCCCGUCAUUCGUGUGGCUUAUGUCGCUGUUCCCUUUGAAGUGCUUGCGUGCAGGUACCCGACCUACGGGAAGUGGUGCUUYCUAAACGUUGCCUCGCGGUGCAUGCCUUCCGGUGUGCCACUGCGGCCAAAUGGUGCUUGCGGCGUUGCCUCGUGGUGCUGUUGCUCUUUACGUGCACGGUGCUAUCAAUGCAGCCUCGCCCGCGCUCUUGGUUUUGGAUGCUGCUCACGAUAAAGGCUAAUGGCCCUUCUGGUUGCCAUUACCCGACCCUUCAGAAGCUCUCCGAAUUUUGAGAACAACCGUGAACAGGUGUUGCCUCUACCUCUCCACAGUUAGUGGUAGGAUUACUUAACAUUCUGCUCCGAUCCUCAAAGUAGUAGGACGAGCUUGGCCCGCACAAUUGUGACAACCGACCCGGGCGUUGUUUCGCACUGCGACGCAAGUUGCGGGGUGGACGACAACCGACGCCGGACGUCAACGAGGACGUGCUACCUGGUUGAUCCUGCCAGUAGUC
rnacentral:misc_RNA from 1 species